ACAACUAUUGGUGGUCGAGAGAGAAAGUUUAAUCCUGAUUGGUUUGAUGAGUUUGGGAGCUGGCUUGAGUAUAGUGAGUACAAAGAAAAAUCGUAUUGCUUCUGUUGUUUCUUAUUCAGGCGCCGUGAUAAGAAAGAAGCUGGAUAUGCAGCAUUUGUUGCAAAGGGUUGGUCAGGCUGGAACAAAAAACAUAGACUAAAUGAUCAUGUCGGAGAUGUGAAUAGUGUUCACAACCAAGCAAAAAGAGAUUGUGAUGCUUUAUUGCAACAAGACCAGCAUAUUUAUGUUGCUUUCAAUAAUCAAAGCAAUGCUGCGAAGAAGGCGCAUUAUACUAGACUAAAUGCCUCAAUUGAUGUUACUAGAGUUCUAUUGCAGCAAGGGUUACCUUUUCGCGGCCAUGAUGAGUCAGAGGAGUCCUUGAAUAAAGGCGGAAGUGCGAAGGAGAGUUUAGUUGGCCUGGUUCAUGUGAAGGAGACAACUUCAAAGUACCUCAAGUCUGCUAUUGAUGAUUUAUUUGCAGAACUUAGCUUAAGUCUCAAGCAGGUUAGGGGCCAAGGAGACGACGGCACGAGCAACAUGCGAGGUGAGUUUAAUGGUUUGCAAUCUUUAAUCAUGAGGGAGAACAACACGGCAUAUUAUGUUCAUUGUUUUGCACACCAAUUGCAACUAGUUGUUGUGGCCGUUGUAAGGAAGCACAAAUGGAUUGGAAACUUUUUU
rnacentral:rRNA from 1 species